rnacentral:rRNA from 1 species
CACACUGUAAACGAUGAUAACUCGCUGUCGGCGAUAUACAGUUGGUGGCCAAGCGAAAGCGAUAAGUUAUCCACCUGGGGAGUACGACCGCAAGGUUGAAACUCAAAGGAAUUGACGGGGGCCCGCACAAGCGGAGGAACAUGUGGUUUAAUUCGAUGAUACGCGAGGAACCUUACCCGGGCUCGAACGGUGCAGGAAUACAGCAGAGAUGUUGUAGCUAGCAAUAGUCUGUAUCGAGGUGCUGCAUGGUUGUCGUCAGCUCGUGCCGUGAGGUGUCGGCUUAAGUGCCAUAACGAGCGCAACCCUUGUCGUUAGUUGCCAUCAGGUAAAGCUGGGGACUCUAACGAGACUGCCACCGUAAGGUGU